rnacentral:rRNA from 1 species
UGGCGGUAUUUUAGUCUAUUCAGAGGAACCUGUUCUAUAAUUGAUAGUCCACGAUGUACCUCACUUAAAUUAGUUUUCAGUUUAUAUACCGUCGUUAUUAGAAUAUUUUAUUAGAAUAAUAAUUUUCAAUAAUUUGUAUUUAAAUUCAUAUCAGAUCAAGGUGUAGCUUAUAUUUAAGUAGAAAUGGGUUACAAUAAAAUUAUUUAAAUGAAUUUAAAUUUUAAAUGUUUAAUGAAAUUGGAUUUGGUAGUAAAAUUUUAAAGAUAAAAAAUUUGACUUUAGCUCUAAAAU